UCCAGACUCCUACGGGAGGCAGCAGUGAGGAAUAUUGGUCAAUGGGCGCGAGCCUGAACCAGCCAAGUCGCGUGAGGGAUGACGGCCCUACGGGUUGUAAACCUCUUUUGCCGGGGAGCAACGGGCGCCACGUGUGGCGCCACUGAGAGUACCCGGAGAAAAAGCAUCGGCUAACUACGUGCCAGCAGCCGCGGUAAUACGUAGGUGGCAAGCGUUGUCCGGAUUUACUGGGUGUAAAGGGCGUGUAGCCGGGCUUACAAGUCAGAUGUGAAAUCCGGGGGCUCAACCCCCGAACUGCAUUUGAAACUGUAGGUCUUGAGUAUCGGAGAGGCAGGCGGAAUUCCUAGUGUAGCGGUGAAAUGCGUAGAUAUUAGGAGGAACACCAGUGGCGAAGGCGGCCUGCUGGACGACAACUGACGGUGAGGCGCGAAAGCGUGGGGAGCAAACAGGAUUAGAUACCCUUGUACC
rnacentral:rRNA from 1 species